UGUGAACAAAGAAACUUCGACAGAAGCUU
rnacentral:piRNA from 1 species